UUCCAACAACCUAUAAUUCCGAAACUUCGAACGACGACAUGGCCAAAGCUUGCAGUGUAUCUAUUUUGUUAUUGAUCAUUGUGGCUCUUUCAUCAGGUUAGUUAACAUUCAUUACAUUAACAUUUGUAGUCGUAUGGAAUAGUAUUGGCCAACUUUUUUAAUCGUUCCGAUUAAUACUGCAGUGGAGAUCAUCCCUAUGGUUCUGAAAGUGGAAGCAGGUCGGUGCUCGGUCGAUCUCAAUAAAGACAAAGAUUGUGUUAAAGAUGACUGUAAUCGUGACUGUCUUCAACAACAUCCUGAAAGGUUUGCUCAAGGAGUAUGUGUCGGUAAUAUGUUUGCGAAAAAAUUAACUUGCCGAUGUUUUUAUAAUGCUUUAAAAUGUUGAGAUUUUUUGUAUUGUGGAUUUUGUAAGCAUGAAAUAUUUGGAAUAAUGAAAUAAUUACUAAA
rnacentral:lncRNA from 1 species